UUAAUCCCCGCUAUACAUUUAAAAAUAUACCCCAAAGCCAAUUUCAUAUUCCCUCUGAUUUUUUAAUUGGUCAAAUAUUUUUCCCUAAUCUCCUUGUUUUACCCAAGUUUAACGUAUUUUGCUCGAUUGUUAAAACCCAUUUCUCAUUGCUUGAAUUCUUACAGAUUUUUCCUGAUUACAGAUUAUCAAGACCCAUAUUGAGUCAAAUUUCUACAGAUUUUUACUCAAAACCAAUUUUGUGCUGAUUUUCCCAAUUCACAGCCUCCAAAUUGCAAUUCUCCAUCCUUUUUUCACUCAUUUUCCAGCUCUCAUCAAAAAAUUGUACUCAGUUCGUUACAUUGUGGGAUCGAGAUUCGGUUGGACUACCAUCAAUAAGGUCAAUUACACCAAUAGGGUGAAGGGAAAAUAUUUCUACAGGGGCGACUCUCUCUGGGUAUCUAAGGGGACACCACACUUGCUGGGAAGAGCUUGUGCUGUAUCAUCUUUAAGACUCGUGUUCCGGUUAGCAGCUUCCUUACCACAAUUGAAUGCUUCCUUUUUGUCGGUUGUGGUUUGAGCCAUUCCUUUCAGGACUUUAACCCCACUGCAGCAAGCUGCACCUGGCUUACCUCCUUGCGUAAGGCAUGGUAUGCACGGUGCCAAAGAAGCAUCUACUUGUCCACAAGUGAGGGCUUGUCCUAGAUCAAACAUGACCUAAAUCAUGGCCCAAACUACAAUGGCUGAAAUGAUGAUUCCCUUUAUUUUUACUUUGUUUUCUUGGAAGUGAGCCAAAUGGUUUAGUUUUCCUUCAAUAAUUGAUUUGUUUCUGCACUUGUCGAUGGACUGCUAGUGUCAUAAGAGGGUAUAUAUAGUUAUAUGAGAAGUUCUAUGAAAAGUAAGUUGUUCUAUGUUUUUGUAAGUUCUAUGGCAGUGGUGCCAAUGAGUUCCACCCCUGAGACUUUGAGUUGAAAGAAGUAGGUUUGUUGAGAUGCAUGAGAGCUUGACACUAGGUUUGUUGUGGGUGUUAGCUAAAAGCAGGAAAAUUUUUAUACCAUAAUCUCAGUAUUAUCUAUCCCCCUCUAGAAGUAAGGAUUAUAACUGGAUAACCUUGUUUUGAAUCUAAGGACCCAUUAGGCAAUUAACUGUGACAUUUACAAUGCACUUGUAGAGUUGAGAAGAUCACUAGCUUAUCAAAAAAAACAAUGUUGCUACAUAACUCAUCAGUUGUGCAACAUAUGCUGCUAUAGUUUACUUAAUAUGGUUCCACCCACAUUUUUAUUUUAAUGAUAAUUAUCAGGUUCUUUGACAUCUAUAGUUGUUGUUCCUCUCGAAAGUAUGCAAACACCUUUAUCUUUUGUAUGUUAAACUAAUUUUGUCUUUAGUAUUGUGUCUUAAGAAUGAGACUGGUAGCUUAUAUUAAUAUAAUGACACUUGAUUAUUUACUAUAGCGAUAACCUUUUUCCUCUUGUGGAAUGAUGCUAAGUAUUUUGUUGUUGAGCGUUACCAUAACCAUAGCUAGUCAUUUGGUUGACAUACAUUUGCUAGGAAUACAUAUAAACAUGUGACCAGAAGGCAUUUGUUGUGGAUACAAACCCGCUGGCUGUUCACAUUAGAAUUGUUGAGGAUGCCAGCCUUCCAUCUGAUUUCCUUGCAUGGUCUGAUUAUUCAUCAUAGCAGGUUGUCCAGUAGUAUUUGGCUGAUACAUGCCGUUGAGGUAUGUACCGCCCGCUAGUUGCUGGGCAUUGACUGCAACCAUCUGAUUAUUUUGCAUUGACAUAGCAUGUGGACUUCAAGAUAAGUGAUGCAAUUUGUGGACCCAUUUCGCCCAUGGAUGCAAAGAGAUGGAUGCAAAGAGACUGUGUGAUGAUAGUGAUCCUAAUGAAAGUCAUUGAUUUGGUUGCAAAUCAUCUUGGAUAUUCAAUUAUGAUGAUGUAAUUAUGUGGUUGAAACUAAUCUUAGAAUAUUGAAGGUUUUGUAUUUAAAUUUUAUUUUGGAGUUUGAAGAUACUAAUUAAUGUUAAAAAUUUGGCGUUUGAAGAUGCUAAUGUUGAAAAUUUAAUUUUGAAGUUAAAUGUUCAAUGUA